UCCAUCGAGCGGUUUGUCCAAUUUUUGCCCGGGAAGUUUUAGCCCAUUUUGACUUUCGGGCUAGAUUUCUCACAAACCGUGAAUCCCACGAGAAAACCGAGAGUACCAGAGCGCUCCACUCGUCGAGAGCUUCGCGGCGACAUAAAUUUCAAAUUUUUCCGACACCGUUUUUCGGUGGGUCCCACGAAACUUCGCAGUGUCUUUUCGAGCAUUAAAUGAGCUUAGAAAAUUCUGAAAAAUUUAUGUACUAACCCCCGUGUUGUGGGCUUCGUGUAGGUAUCCUCAAUUCGCGGAAAUUCGACAGUUGACCAGGUUUGCAAAUUUCGGGCCAGACAGACCCGUUACCGGAAAAGUCUCCGAAUUGGACCAAGGUUUUGGCUACCCCCCCAUUGUCAGACGUCCCGAGCGCGUCCCCGAAGUCGGAAUCGGCAAAGGUGAGCCGGGACAGCCUUCUUCCUCCGCCCAGCCGCCUCAGUGACCACCGUCAAGUUUGUGAGUAAAAUAUUAAUUUUAACUGUAAUUUCGAUAUUAUUAUAUGUUCAAGCAUGCCCAUGCAUCACUUAUAUGCAUAUAUUUAUGUAGUUAAACUCUAGGCACGAUUUAUGUUGCAUUAAUAACUGUUAAAGUGCCAUGGAUGUUGUUGUGGUAAUUUGGAGCAGUGUGCGUGUGUUGGCGUGCGUGUGAUGUGGUGUGGACUAUGGAUAGGACGGGUAGUCACGGCUUGAGUUCUUCGCUGGGACCCGAUCCUUCGAGGGGUAGUCACGGCUUGAGUUCUUCGCUGGGACCCUCGAUUUGGUUUAUUAAGCGAAAAUCCGGCUUGAGUUCUUCGCUGGCACCAGGUUGGAUUUAAGAGAGCUGUAUAGGGGA